rnacentral:rRNA from 1 species
CUACGGGUUGCUGCAGUGGGGAAUAUUGCACAAUGGAGGAAACUCUGAUGCAGCAACGCCGCGUGGAGGAUGACACUUUUCGGAGCGCAAACUCCUUUUAUAUAGGAAGAAGAUGACGGUACUAUAUGAAUAAGCGCCGGCUAACUCCGUGCCAGCAGCCGCGGUAAUACGGAGGGCGCAAGCGUUACUCGGAAUCACUGGGCGUAAAGAGCGUGUAGGCGGAUUAAAAAGUCAGAAGUGAAAUCCUAUAGCUUAACUAUAGAACUGCUUCUGAAACUCUUAAUCUGGAAUGUGGGAGAGGUAGAUGGAAUUUCUGGUGUAGGGGUAAAAUCCGUAGAGAUCAGAAGGAAUACCGAUUGCGAAGGCGAUCUACUAGAACAUUAUUGACGCUGAGACGCGAAAGCGUGGGGAGCAAACAGGAUUAGAUACCCUCGUAGUC